UACAGAGACUGCAAGCGUUAUUCGGAUUCACUGGGCGUAAAGGGUGCGCAGGCGGCCGAGUGUGUGAGGCGUGAAAGCCCGGGGCUUAACCCCGGAAUUGCACCUCAAACUACACGGCUAGAGCAUUGGAGAGGGUAGCAGAAUUCAUGGUGUAGCAGUGAAAUGCGUAGAUAUCAUGAGGAAUGCCAGAGGCGAAGGCGGCUACCUGGACAAUUGCUGACGCUCAGGCACGAAAGCGUGGGGAGCAAAAGGG
rnacentral:rRNA from 1 species